UACAGAGGUCUCAAGCGUUGUUCGGAUUCAUUGGGCGUAAAGGGUGCGUAGGUGGCGGGGCAAGUUUGGUGUGAAAUCCCGGGGCUCAACCCCGGAACUGCACUGAAUACUGCCUUGCUUGAGCACUGGAGAGGGAACUGGAAUUUACGGUGUAGCAGGGAAAUGCGUAGAUAUCGUAAGGAAGACCAGUGGCGAAGGCGAGUUCCUGGACAGUUGCUGACACUGAGGCACGAAGGCUAGGGGAGCAAACGGG
rnacentral:rRNA from 1 species